AGCAGUUCGCUGCCUUAAAAGGCAGCAAGCUGCUGCCUUAUAUUAAGGCAGCAAAUCGCUGCCUUUUAAGGCAGCCAGCUGCUGCCUUAUAUUAAGGCAGCAGCUUGCUGCCUUUUAAGGCAGUGAACUGCU
rnacentral:miRNA from 1 species